GGCCUGGAAACUCCGCACCCGCGGCCUCGCAAGGAAUUCAGGCCACUGUGGCAUUCGUGCAGUUGGGCAGUCACUGCUUUGGGCUUUGGAGUUGUAACGUAAUGUGAACUUUUAUUACGUCAAUAUUUUUUUUCGUAUCAGGAGCAACCGGAGUUGCUUCUGGAGUGAAAGAAUUGGCCGUCUGCAAGGAUGUUGCCCAGGGAACGCCCGGAUGUUUUUGAUGUUUUACCAUCCUUGUGGGAGGCUUCUCUCAUGUCCCCACAUGGAGCUGGAGCUGAUAGAGGGAGCUCAUCCGCGCUCUCCCCGGGUGGGAUUCGAACCUGGCAGCCUUCAGAAUCUUAGAAUCAUAACGUUGGAAGAGACCUUGUGUGCCAUCCAGUCUUGCCCCCUGCCAAGAAGCAGGAAAAUCACAUUCAAAGCACCCACGACAGAUGACCAUCCAGCCUCUGUUUAAAGGCCUCCAAAGAAGUAGCCUCAACCACACACCAGGGCAGAGAGUUCCCCUGCCAAACAGCUCUCACAGUGAGCAAGUUCUUCCUAAUGUUCAGGUGGAAUCUCCUUUGCUGUAAUUUGAAGCCAUUGUUCUGCGUCCUAGUCUCCAGGGCAUUAUUUUAUUGUUUUUGUGCUGUAUACUAUUUAAUCAUUUGUACUAAUGAGACAUGCAUAAGAAGAAGUAGGAGGAAAAGGAGAUGGAGAUGACAUUGACAAUUAUGUAAGAGAAGCAGCAAGAACAACAAGAUGUCUUGAUUGUUUAUAACAGCAGCUUGAAGAGGAAACAAAAAGGUAUAAUUAACACUGAAGUUUAUCUAUCUGUUCUGGUAUAAGUUCUUGUUAAAACAAGCUUCUUUAAUAUGUUUUCUUUUGUGCCAUCUUAGAGCUUUGUACUGUGACAAAUUAUAGUUGUAUCACAUGAAGUCUGAAAAACUAUUGUAUUUACACAGCCUUAUUCCCACAGAAAACCACAGAACACAAUUAAUAGUAGCACAAAACUACUGAGUAACUUUAUGUCAGCCAAGAACUCAGUUCUUUAUGUACUAGCCUAAAGCUGCCAACUGAUUUUUAAAACUGUCAUCAACGAAUCUGUAGAAAAAUACUGCUGGGUACAAGCUGAGUUCUUGUAAUUCAUUUUUAAUAUAGUCAACCAAGAAACUUGUGUUCUAGAGAUUUAUUGUGAGGAUUUCAUAUAAUUUGGAGGGAUGGAUGUUUUUCAUUACUAUUUUAAUAUCUACCCUACUUUUUUUGGUUAUAGCUUGAGUGAAGCUGUAACCCUCAGUCAUUAAAUUCCAAGUGCAUGCAAUUAAUCUCUUGAGCUGAAAAUUGCUAUUCACUGCAGGAUUUAGAAACAAAAAUAAAGAAAAUAUUCUAGACACCAGGAGGACGACUAGAAUGAGCUCAGUGGGACAGUUCUGGAUAAAGCCUUCUUUCAAUCUUGGUGGUUUAACCAUCCUUGAUAAGCUUGGUAAUUUGGAAAGAAAGAUAAAAUGUUCUUAAUUCUUUAAACUGCUACUAUUUUUUAUUGCAGAUUUCAAAGAUUUAGCAAAAAAGUAUCAUGAAGUUGUAGUAUGCCCACAUCUAACUUCAGUAAUAGAAAAAUCAAGUUAAGUGAAUGAGCCAUAUUUCAUGCUAGUAUCUUCAAGAUUCCCAUGGAGUUCCUUUGCUUUCCAGAAAGUUAGAAUUUUAAAAAAAUCUCUUUGAAGUUUCUUUUCUCAAAAUGUGGUGAAUGCCUCAUCAUCUGGUGAAGCCAUACUAACUUUGUAGUCAUAAGCAGCUCUAUAUGCUAUUAUCAAAUGAAACAGUGGUAGACAUUAUUAAACUACACAAUAUACAUGUGGUGCAUAUGUGAGCAGUUUAUAUCAAAGAGACUGAAAAUUUUCAAUACCAUGGGUUCAAAGUUUAUUUUUGAAAGAAAUGCCUUAUAAGGUCAGAUACCAUAAAGAAAAGUUUGGUUGUACUAGAUACCCUAUUAUAUACUGUACUCCUGAGGAAGCUUUUCACAAUGUAAACCACAUGUUGUUUUCCUUUGAUCAAUUAUGAAAUAAUAAACACAUAGCCUAGGACAGUGACUUUUUGUACUACAACUCUCAUAAUAUCCACAUCAGCUUGGCCAUACUGAUAAUAAUCUAUAUCUUAUCUAUCUAUAUCUAUCUAUAUCUAUAUCCAUAAUUAAAGUGAAAUCCCGUAUGUGGUACAGCUGUCUGGUUACACAGACAGCCUCUGGUCUCCACAAACAGGCUAUAGUACCCAGUACUGAGGAACCACCCAGUCACUCUUUUCCACUGACAUUGCGGUUACAGCGAGCUCCAUGAACAUGUAUCCCAAACCCUGCCAAUGUCCUUCCCAAACACUGCGAACCACCAUCUAAGGAAUGCUUUCAUUUGGGGACAAUUUCAUCCUAGAUUUUGCCUUUUCCUCCACCACAGGCAGGCAUCCUAGGGUUCUCCAUUGGUGUGGAAUUUGCAUGACCCCACCUACUGCCCUUCCCUUUCAAAUCUGUCUGCAUAACAAACAUUUUUUGUUAUUUUGAGGGGAAUUGGCCUGGACAUUUGGGAGUAGUAGGUACUGGGAUUUAUAGUUCACCUGCAAUUGAACCCUACCCAUGAUGUACCAGGACCAAACUUGGCACACAGAGUCCCCAUAACCAAUAGAACAUAUUGGACAAGUUUGGGGAAAAGGUGAAAUCAGACAAAACAGGCUCCUUGCAUUCAACCUAAUCUGACUUGCAGCAGGGAGUUCCACAGAUCCGGAGAAAAGCCCUGCUGAAUCAACCAACUAUGAAAUAUGUGUCUCAGCAGCAGCUUGUAACACGUUUUAAUCUUUUCUUUUUGCUUCUCUAACCCUAACCCUAACAAUGUAACCAAUCCCUAAUAAAAGUAUCAAUUCAUUCUAA